rnacentral:rRNA from 1 species
AGCUCCAAUAGCGUAUAAUAAAGUUGUUGCAGUUUAAAAGCUCGUAGUUGGAUUUCUGGUGGGAGGGAUCGGUCCAGCAAACUGUGUUGGAACUGGAUCCUUUCCGGCCAUCCUUGGGUAGAUCUUGUCUGGCAUUAAGUUGUAAGUCAGGGGAUACCCAUCGUUUACUGUGAAAAAAUAGAGUGUUCAAAGCAGGCUUAUGCCAUUGAAUACAUUAGCAUGGAAUAAAAAUAUAAGGCCCUGGUGCUAUUUUGUUGGUUUGCGUACCGAGGUAAUGAUUAAUAGGGAUAGUUGGGGGUAUUUGUAUUCAGUAUUUAGUGGUGAAAUACUUAGACAUACGGAAGACAAACUACUUAAGGAUCAUUUACCAAGGAGGUUUUCA